CGUCGACAUAGACAUUAGGUUGAA
rnacentral:siRNA from 1 species